rnacentral:rRNA from 1 species
UGAACGCUGGCGGCAUGCCUUACACAUGCAAGUCGAACGGCAGCACGGGAGCAAUCCUGGUGGCGAGUGGCGAACGGGUGAGUAAUAUAUCGGAACGUGCCCAGUCGUGGGGGAUAACGUAGAGAAAUUUACGCUAAUACCGCAUACGAUCUAAGGAUGAAAGCGGGGGACCGUAAGGCCUCGCGCGAUUGGAGCGGCUGAUAUCAGAUUAGGUUGUUGGUGAGGUAAAAGCUCACCAAGCCGACGAUCUGUAGCUGGUUUGAGAGAACGACCAGCCACACUGGGACUGAGACACGGCCCAGACUCCUACGGGAGGCAGCAGUGUGGUUUUUUGUUCGAUGGGCGAAAGCCUGAUCCAGCAAUGCCGCGUGCAGGAAGAAGGCCUUCGGGUUGUAAACU